CGCCCGCUCAGAAACUCAAAUGAAUUGACGGGGGCCCGCACAAGCGGUGGAGCAUGUGGUUUAAUUCGAUGAUACGCGAGGAACCUUACCUGGGCUCAAAUGUAUGUUGACGUAUUCUGAAAGGGAUACUUCUUCGGACAAUAUACAAGGUGCUGCAUGGUUGUCGUCAGCUCGUGCCGUGAGGUGUCGGGUUAAGUCCCAUAACGAGCGCAACCCCUAUCAUUAGUUGCCAUCAGGUCAAGCUGGGGACUCUAAUGAAACUGCCUACGCAAGUAGUGAGGAAGGCGGGGAUGACGUCAAAUCAGCACGGCCCUUACGUCCAGGGCUACACACGUGCUACAAUGGCCGAUACAGAGGGCAGCUACCUGGUGACAGGAUGCAAAUCUCCAAAGUCGGUCUCAGUUCGGAUCGGAGUCUGCAACCCGACUCCGUGAAGUUGGAUUCGCUAGUAAUCGCGCAUCAGCCAUGGCGCGGUGAAUACGUUCCCGGGCCUU
rnacentral:rRNA from 1 species